rnacentral:rRNA from 1 species
UACGUAGGCAGCGAGCGUUGUUCGGAAUUACUGGGCGUAAAGAGUGUGUAGGCGGUGCUCUAAGUUCGGUGUGAAAUCUCCUGGCUCAACUGGGAGCUUGCAGGCGAAACUGCCGUGCUGGAGUGUGGGAGAGGUGCGUGGAAUUCCUGGUGUAGCGGUGAAAUGCGUAGAUAUCAGGAGGAACACCUGUGGCGAAAGCGGCGCAAUGGACCACAACUGACGCUGAGGCGCGAAAGCUAGGGGAGCAAACAGG